CAAGAAGAGAGUUUAUUGGCCAAAGAAUUAGGAGAAGUAGACCAAUAUAAUCGCCCCUGUAUCACUGUUGUGGCUGAUGGUGCUUGGAGCAAAAGGUCUUAUAAUGUUAAUUAUGAUGCUGCUUCAGGAGUUGCUUGUAUAAUUGGACAGAGGACCGGAAAACUUUUAUUUCUUGGAAUCCGAAAUAAAUACUGCAGCUUUUGUGCAUACGCCAGUGCCAAAAACAUGGAAGUCAUUCCAGAUCAUACAUGUUAUAAGAACUGGUCAAAUACAUCCACAAGUAUGGAAUCCGACAUAAUUGUGGAAGGAUUUCGAAAAAGUAUUGACAUGUAUAAUAUUAUUUAUAAAAGACUUGUUGGGGAUGGUGACAGUAGCGUCUAUAAAAAACUGAUCGAGGCUCGCCCAUAUGGAAGUUUACAUGUGGAGAAAAUUGAGUGCAGGAAUCAUUUAUUAAGAAAUUUUUGCUCCAAAUUGCGUGAAAUAUCUAGUAAAAAAAGAAGCAACAGUACAAAUAAUCCGGUUUCACCAUACCUGCGCAAACAUAUUUUGAACAAUAUACGAAGGAUGAGAACUGCUGUUGCAAUGGCUGUUACUCAAAGAAAUAAAGAAGAUAAAAGCUUUAGUAUUAAAAUAGAAAAUCUUACUAAAGAUUUAAAAAAUAUACCAUCCCACGUAUUUGGAGAGCAUCUAAACUGUACAGCCAUAGGAUAUUUUAGAUGUGAUAAAAAGUUUGGAGAAAAAAAUUAUAUUGAAGAAAUGAAGGCAUGUGGGGUUUUGCAAGACAUUGAAGUUUGUCU